UGAAAAAUAUGCCUGGCCACGGUGGGAUUCGAACCUACGACCUUUAGAAUACUCGUAGGUUCGAAUCCCACCGUGGCCAGGCAUAUUUUUCAAGC